rnacentral:lncRNA from 1 species
UCGCACCAAGUGAUAAUGGUACAGAAUAUUUUACAGCAUCCGAUGUAGCAUUGUAUUCUACUUCGCAUAUAGAAUCGACCACAAUAUGUUGGUUGGAACUCUUCCAGCAAAUAGCUCUUCUAUUCAAAGUAAAUACAUAGCCCGACAUGCUUUUGCUUGUUGAAAAUUUUAUCCUAAAGCCAAUCAUCUAGGUUGUAGAUGCUUGUGCUCCAUAUAUAUAUAUGAAUUAUAAAAUGAUAAAUUUUAUCUGACAAGAUUCAUUAUAAGAAAUACAUCUUUC